GCAACAGGAGAAUUUGACUUCUGAUUUUGUGAGAGAAAAUGUCUGUGUCAUCAUGUAGCAUUUGCUUUAAAAGAGCAAAUUCUAAGGUAUCAUUGGGUGUUCCAUAAUUUUCUUUAAUUGUUAAGUGCGAUCGCGGAAGUAACUGAGAUGCUUGGUUUAAUGUCUACUGAAGACCAUGUUGGAUGGAUGGCCUACUGUACAUAAAAGAAGAGCUUUUUCAGCCUUGUAAUGGAUGGCAACUCGAGGAGUCUCUUGAAGUU
rnacentral:misc_RNA from 1 species